rnacentral:tRNA from 1 species
CGCGGGAUAGAGUAAUUGGUAACUCGUCAUCAUAGAAUGUUAAAUGUGGGUUCGAAUCCGACUCCCGCCA